CUUCCUUUUGCUUCCUUGUCUUUCUGAAUUCACCUGUUAUCUCCUGUAGCAGACUACAAAACUGCUUGGACUAGGUAACAGGUGUUUUUUUAUCCUGUAUUUAGACAAUACCUGGUAAAAACUCAUCCUGAGCCUUAGUUAAAUUUUCUGAAUCCAUUAGUAACAGUAACAAUUAUGAUUUCUUUAAAGCAUAAUGUGGAAUAAAAGGAAGUCUUUUAAUGAACUUGUUUUCUCUUCUAGUGGGCUGCAUUCCUAUUGCAGUAGUCAGCAAACUUUGUUGGAAAGACCCGGAGGGACUGAGUGCUCCUGCUUCUCUGCCUGGCUUAACAUUGCCCUGAAGCAUUGUGAGCUCCUGUUGCUAAAGAUGAUUCAGUCAGCUAGGUUCCUCAUAGCUGGAUCCUGUUCAGGUAGGAGUGUUAACAUGGACUGACUUGGUCUGCCUUUAGUUUGAUGUUUAUAAUAUCCUUGACACACAUAAUGUAAAUAUUCUAUUCUUGAGUCAAAAAAGUGUCACUUCUGAGUCAGCCUAUUCCUGUGGAGACUAUAGAAGACACUGAUGUACUUCUACCAUCUUUCUGCAAGUUAGCUUUUCUCCCUGCUGUUUAUUUUCAGGUCUGUAUGGUCUACUUCAGAUGACUCAAACAGGAUAGAUUUAUCAGGAAAAAAAUAGUCACAGAGCUGAUAGAUGUUCACUUCACUGUAGAUUGAAUCCAACAAGAUUGUUGGUCUCCUAGCAGCACUAACAGAAUCAUAGAAUAUCCUGAGCUGGAAAGGACACACAAGGAUCAUCAAGUCCAGCUCCUGGCUCCACACAGGACUACCUAAAAAUUAAGCCAUAAGUCGGAGACCAUUGUCCAAAUGCUUUUUGAAUUCUGGCAGGGUUGGUGCUGUGACCACUUCCCUAGGGAGCCUAUCCCAGUGCCCGACCACCCUCUCGGUGAAAAAACUUCCUAAUAUCCAUCCAGACCUCACCGACACAGCUUUUCCACCAGUGUAGCCUUACCUCAAGCAGUGUGUGCAGUUUGGGGUACCACAACAGAAGGAUGUAAAAGUAUUAGAGAGUGUCCAAAGGAGAACACAGAUGGUGAAGGGUACAGAGGAGAAGAUGUAUGAGGAUCAGCUGAAGUAAUUUGGUUUGUUCAGCCUAGAGAAGAGGAGACUGAGGGGAGGCCUCAUGGCAGCCUACGGCUUCUUCAAAAGUGGAGCAGAGGGGCAGGCACUGAUCUCUGCUCUCUGGUGACCAGUGAUAGGACCCUUCUUGUGUAUGUGAACAAGUUUCAAAAUUACAGCUUCACCAUGUACAAGGCUAGUAUUUUUCAGUGUGAUGUGAAUAAGAAUGAAGUCAUGUGAUAAAAGCUGAACUGAAUAAAAAAGCUGAAACUCUACCUCCA
rnacentral:lncRNA from 1 species